rnacentral:tRNA from 1 species
GGGCUGUUGGCGCAGUUGGUAGCGCGCCUCCGUGGCGCGGAAGAGGUCACGGGUUCGACCCGGUACGGUCCACCA